rnacentral:misc_RNA from 1 species
UUAUUGAACAUUAACUCUUCAACCCGCUCUAUACAUCAAACCAAAACAAAUAUAUCGACUAUGCAAACCGUCAUAUUGUUAUACAGGUUCGUCACAUGUAAAUAACGUUUUUUCCAAAGUCGUGGAGAAGAAGAAGCACAUAUACAUGGUGUCUGAUGAAUCAUUGAAGUAAAUUAACGUUCACCUCAUCAUUUGUGAUCCCGG